GGCGGAUGUAGCCAAGUGGAUCAAGGCAGUGAUUUU
rnacentral:tRNA from 1 species